rnacentral:lncRNA from 1 species
CGGAAACAAACUCAGCCUUUGUAAGUGCUCUUAGCGACCAGAAUCUUUUUCAUUAAUUGUAUAAAUAACGACAACUAAUAUUGUGACAUCCACACAGAUAUCCAAACACAUACAAAAAGUCAAUACUCAUAUAAACAUCAUUGUUGAUUACAAAAGAUUAGAAUAUCACAUUACCAAAAAUAUACUUAUCUAAAUUGUACUAACAUUAUUUUAUUCAACUCCUAAAAAAAGAAAAAAUAGAACUAUAGCAUAUACAAACAGCAAUAUCUUUAAAAAGUCCUUCGCAAAACAAAGUGGGUUCCUCUUGUACUUCAAUUUAUUCUUUAACAUUUCUCAUCUGCUUCAACUCGCUCUACACUAUCUUCAAGAAAGCUUCAUGUCUUCAAAUUCUUGAUCUGUUAAAAGAAAAAGUGUAUGUUACUGCAUUACUUCAACAAUUAGGAAAAAGAUUAAAAAGGUGUUGCAUCAAUUUACUUGUGGAAGCAUUGACAUUGCAUGAAACUUUAGUCAUGCAGAAACAUACAGGAGUAGAGUAUUGUGCAGAAAUACAAAAUGACGUGCAGAAAUACCGAAUGUUGUGCAGAGAUGAAGAACGAUUUACAGAAAUGCAUAAAAUUGUGCAAAAAUACUAAAAUGCAGAAAUGCUAUCCAGAAAUGCAAUAACACUGUAGAAAUGACAAAUGCUAUCACUUGAUAAAUAAUAAGUAGAGAGUCUAAGAGUGAAUUAGGGAUUACUAUUGACAAUCUACCACAAAUGGAAUUUACUUUAGGAAGAAAAAACUUCAGUGGUAAGAGUACGAAAGCUUUGUCUCUCUUGGGAACCAUAGCUCACAGUAAGAUAUCAAUGACAAAAUUCUUUCCCUUCUUUUUGCUGAAAAUGCUGGCAUUUACAAAAAGUUCUUUCCCUUUGUCCAUAAGAUCAUCUUCCAUUAUUUUCUCAAGGCUUAUAAUGUUUGUAGUUCUGAGAUUGAUUGGAGUUGGAAUCUAAUUUACAAGUUUAGAAUGGACUACAAUGUAAAGUUUAUAGGAGUAAUAUUAAAUGGAAGAUUAACAAAGAUAUGAUCAGGGACCUUAAUAGUCAGAGAUAGGAAAGAAAUAGUCAGAGUGCAAAUGAUAUAGGAAAAACUUAUAGUUGGACAUAAUAUCACUUCAUGGAUGUCAUUAAAUAGGAGAAAUUACAGAAAAAGACUUUAAUUGUAACCCAUGGAUAAGGAUUCAUGCUAGUGUCUUUCACUUUGGAUAGCUAAUGAAAAAAACCUAUCAACUACACCUAUAUAUUAAUGCAAGCAUUUAACAUUCUUGAACUGAUAGUGAAACAGAAUAAAAAAGACAUACCUGAAAUGGUAUUUAUCCUCACAAACAACAAUCACGAAGUAAAAAUGGUGAACUAAUGUCUGCACGAAUAACAACUACUACCUCCUGGGAGUGUUGAGCAUCGACUGCAAAGAAAUUCAAGCAACUUGUGCCUCAUGGGAAUGUUGAGCAACUUCUGCCUUCUUCACCUUCACUUCUUGAUAUGAGCUGAUAGCUAUACUCAAUGCAGAUAAAUUGUUAAACAAGUGAAGCAACAAAAGAACAAAAAAUAAACCAUCUUCUCUAAGAACUCACCAACACAGAAAAAAUAAUUUCCUUUUAAGAGGAGAAAAAAAGAACAUAUUGAGAGAGGUAGAAUAAAAAUACUGUUAUACCGAAUUAAUUAUUAUUUUGAGCUUUUCAUCACAAAGUAAGCAAGAAUGAAGAUGUGAUUUACUUCACAAAUAAAAGCACAUAAUUUUAGAGGAGGUAAUUUAUUGUUAGGGAAGUAGUGUGAAACAUGCAACCGCUUUACUUGUUACUUGUUACUCGAAACAUGUGAUAUUCAGUUGAUAUCUUUAUUGCAAGCUGUAUCAAGAGAAAUUAAUGUUCUUAUUAUGUGUUUAGUAAGUUAAAAAAACAAGAUGCUAAAAGAUCACGUCUCUAAGCGAAUCUUAGAUGUAGUCCCUUUAUACUUAAACCAAUAUUAUUACCAAAAGAUUUAAAUUAUAUAUGUACUAAUAUGAAAAAAAAACACAUACCAAAAGUAUUCUUAUAUCAUGUACAUAGACUCCGAGUGGAUCUAAAUGAGUAUAUAAAAUUUAUAUAUCUCUAAUUAGUUUAGAAUUAAAAAGUAAUUAGCUUUUUUUCUCAUAUUUCUAUCCUUAGUGCUGGCCUAAAAGAUAUUCCCUGCCAAAAUCUCAUCCACAUUCAAUGCAAGAGACUUUAAAAAUAUCCAAUGAAAAGGAUACCAUGAAGGUAAAAUUCCAACAAUACUCAAGGGUGCACUCACCAGAAGACUUCUUAGUUUACAUUCCAGUUAUUGUAGUUAAUUUAAUAAGAACACAGACUCAGACUCAACACUAGGUUUACAAUUAGAAAAUAAAUGUUACAGUCACACUCAAAAAUGGUUAAAGUGUAUAGGUUAGUAGGACAACAAGCAUUUCUCAUUCUGCUGCACCUAGAAGCAAUGAAUUCUUUAGACUCAUGAAAUAUUUGUGAGCACUUGUAACUUAGAUCACCUACUCUGUCCUGGCUUUUCAUUAACUAGCUUCCUCAACGUUAGAUUGUAUUAAGUACCAUCAAUUUACUCUUUGAUAUACCUAGUUAAAUUCAUCCAGCACUUAGACGCAUCGUUUGAAAACUCAAAGUUCAUAUAUUGAUAUUAGAUCUUCAAGUAAUGACAAGAGCUUUAUAGAAAUGUAAAGUCCCCUGUAUUUUAGUUCAUCCAACUAGUGAUAAUUCUUUAAAAAUCAUUAUGUCUUCAUGGUUAUAUCCUUAGUCAUAUUUGCAGCGAAAAGCUCAAAGAUAAAGACCAAUUUAUAGAAAAACUACAUGAAAAGGAAAAAAAGAUCACCCCUUACUAUAUUUAUACCUAUUUCUCCUUCACCUCAUAUACCAAAUAAAGGUCUAUACUUAGGUCAAUAAACAACAAAAAUUAAAGAAAACUACAACUCUGGGCAGGUUUAAUCCAGCAUAACUAGACAUUGAAAAAGAUAGUAUUGGGAAACAUUAAUAUUCUAAGAAGAAAUCCAAAUUACUUGACAAACACUAAGAAAAGCAGAACAAUACCAUCAAACCGAGAUACCAUUGGACAAUAAAAGAAUACCCAAUUCCACUCAAUAGUUACAUGGCAGGUUUAGGGAUUUGGUAUAAACAUACCUUGAUAAGAAGAAAAUUCUUAGACGAGCAGUCGAUGAUAAUGGAGGAGACGGGCUGUAUUUUUACUUCGAAGAAGUUUACUCCAAGAUGGGCAAUCGGAGGAGAUGGCGCAGGUGGUGAGCAGUUUUCUUCAUUCUUCCAAUUGAAACAAGCAUUUUUUGAUCCAAGAUUAGGGAUUUUCUUUUGAGGGUUGGGUGGUUGGGUUUGGUUGCGCGUAAGAAAAGAGGGAAAAAGUUUGUGCUUGUUUUUAUUUAAUAAAUUACUUUUAACGACGAAAUAUUAUACUUUUUAGGAUAAAAUAGUUUCCCCUUGUUAAUGUUGAGAUUAAAAAUUGACUUUAACGUCUUGAAAAAAGUUGGCCGCUAUAAGUUCACGUAUAACGACCGGAUUCAUGUCCCUUCGUUAAGAAAUUAUCGUUAAAAAUCAAGUUUCUUGUAGUGGAAGUAUUAAAUUGGAGUUUUUCUCUGAACCUUGAUGGAAAAUCAUAGAUUUCUGAUAGGAAAGAAAAAGUCUAAUUACUAAAAAAAAUUCAUAUACACGAGCGUGC